UACGUAGGGUGCAAGCGUUAAUCGGAAUUACUGGGCGUAAAGCGUGCGCAGGCGGCUUUGCAAGACAGAUGUGAAAUCCCCGGGCUUAACCUGGGAACUGCAUUUGUGACUGCAUGGCUGGAGUGCGGCAGAGGGGGAUGGAAUUCCGCGUGUAGCAGUGAAAUGCGUAGAUAUGCGGAGGAAAACCGAUGGCGAAGGCAAUCCCCUGGGCCUGCACUGACGCUCAUGCACGAAAGCGUGGGGAGCAAACAGG
rnacentral:rRNA from 1 species